UAAAUAUGUAAAACUUUUACAGCCAGAUCUGGUAAACAGUAAAUGCUAAAUAAGUAUUGUCUAUCUUUAUUCAUGUGGGAAAAAUAGAGCAAAAAUAGAUACUUAAAAGCCAUUUUAAUGAUUGACAUUUUAAAAUUUUCAGACCUUUAGAAUUCAACUUUGGUCAAGUCUCCAGGACUCUUUGGUAAACUCCCGGUAGUGUGCCAUGACUUCGGGGAUGCAAAUAAAAAACAAGGCUGAGUUUAUGGUCACAUCUACCAAAUGGGUGGUUUCAUUUCAAGGCAGACAAGAGGAGGAAAGAAAAAGCUGGGUUUUGUUGGUUUAUAUCAUGUGUCUAUUGCAACAAAAGGAACUAGUAUUUGUUGAAAAAUGUAUUUUAGUAAUAUUAAUUCUCAUUCCUCUGAAAAAAUUAUUAAUUCUUUUAAUUAAUUUUUAAUCAUACAAUUGCUAAUUUGAACGGCCAUAUUAAUGAAGAACAAAUUUUAAGUGUAUUUUAAUCUUUACAGUGAUUUUAGUAGCCAUUAAAAUAAAAUCUAGCCUCAUUAGAUAAAUGAAACUUAUGUUUAAUUGCCGUAAUUAGGAAAAUUAUUCAUACUUCUGCUAUAUUCUUUUGUUACCUGAUUGCAUGUGUCUUUGGUGUUAAAUGGGUUAAAUAAACACAAUACCAA
rnacentral:lncRNA from 1 species